GCGAGAGUGGCGGAAUUUGGUAGACGCGCUGGACUUAGGAUCCAGUGACUUCGGUCGUGGGGGUUCGAGUCCCCCCUUUCGCA
rnacentral:tRNA from 1 species